GGAUGAGUAUUGUACUCUUUUAUUUUUACCAAAAAAAACUUAGUCGAGCUUCGGGCUUUUGCAGAAAUGGAGGACGAAUCAUCUAUGUCACCAAAUAAUCCAUUUGCUCUCCAAGCCGACCCAACCGUCGCUGGAUGCUCUCUCUUCCCCAUAACUUCGGGCACCACCACCGUCGCCGCCGCCACAACUCCUCAAUGGCUAAGCAGUUCCAGCUUCACCGCCGACCUCUCCGUCAUCAACGACACCGUCGUCUCGCUUCAAUCUCGCAUCAUCAAAGACGACGACGAUGACGAAGAAAUGAGAGAAUCAGCACCCCCAGAAGCUUCUAAGCUGUCUUCCACCUCGUACCAGAUUCUGGAAUCUUCGGAAUCCGACAAGGGGGAGAGAGGUUACUCAGGGAAGAAGAGGAAGAAGUCGAAAAAGAAGCGGAGGAGCGAGAAUGAAGGAGGAGCUGGUGAGUUCGAGCCGUUUGCAUAUGGUGGUAGAAAGUCUGGUGUUCGUGCUUGGGCUAAUUCCGAUUCCAAACCCUCUAAGGAUUAUUACUCAGAUUCUCGGGGUGACCGCGAUAACCUGGCCUUUGGGUGCUUGUAUAGGAUGGAUAUCGGGCGAUAUAAGCUUCAUGAUGUUGCAAAAAGUUCAGGGAUUGAUUUUAAGCAGCAUCCUCGACUGAGUAAUUGGGGGUUCCUUACAAAAGGAGAGCUUGAUGCGGAUGGAUUAGAUACUAAACUAAAAACUAGUGGACGCUAUUGGUCAGCUAAGCAUUCAGUCUUUGAACAACAUAGGAAUUAUAAGCGCAUUCGCAUCGUUGCUUCAGAGAAGCAUGUACAUUUGACGUAUGAUGAUUUCAUUCCGUUUCUGGAUGAAGAUGAUGAUAGUAGCUUAGUUUCUAGAGCUUCUGUGAUUGUGGAGUCAUGGGAAGAUGAGGUGCUGCGGAAAACAAGAGAAUUCAAUAAAAUGACUAGGGAGCACCCCCAUAAUGUUACAGUAUGGAUGGAUUUCGCUGAGUUUCAAGACAAUAUAGCAAGUAAGCAACCACAAAAAGGUGCACGCUUGCAGACAUUUGAGAAGAAAAUUAGUAUAUUAGAAAAGGCGGCUGAGCUGAACCCAGAAGAUGAAGAUUUAUUGCUUUGCCUUCUAAAAGCUUAUCAGAAAAGGGAUAGUGCAGAUGUUUUUAUUGGUAGGUGGAAGAAGGUUUUGAUGAAACAUUCAGGAAGUUGCAAGUUGUGGAGAGAGUUUUUACGGGUUGUUGAGGGAGACUUCUCCACUUUUAAAGUUUCUGAGGUUCGGAAGAUGUAUGCUCAUGCAAUCCAAGCUCUCUAUGCUGCAUCUAGCAAGAGGCAUAGGCAGGUUUGUCCAACUUUGGAACUGCCUUCUCCGGAGAAUGUGGAUACUGACCUUGAAAUGGGCAUUGUUGAUAUACUUCUCAAUCUGUGCCGGUUUGAGUGGCAGGCAGGUUAUCAUGAGUUAGCCACCGCAUUAUUGCAGGCUGAAAUAGAAUAUAGUUUGUUCUCUCCACCUUUACAGCUCACAGAGCAGAGCAAAAAACGGUUGUUUGAGCACUUCUGGACUGGCAAUGGUGCAAGAGUUGGAGAAGAUGGUGCCCUUGGUUGGUGCACCUGGCUGGAGAAAGAAGAGGAAAACCGACAGAAGCUCAUGCGAGAUAUAUCUGUUAAGGAAGACGAGCAAGGUGGUUGGAGUGGAUGGUUUGUCCCACCAUCCAUAGCCAAGGAGAAUUCACCUAACUUAGAGGAUGAUGGCGUUACUGAUAUGGCUGCGGCGGAUACGGAAGAACCAAAAGACGACAUGGAUGCAAAGCAAGAAGAGGAUGACACUGCUCUGCUGAGAAUAUUAGGAAUUGAUGUCGAUGCUGAAGCUAACAGGGAGGUUCAUGACACAAAUACGUGGGUCAGGUGGUCAGAAGAGGAGUCAUCGAGAGACCAUGAUCAGUGGAUGCCUGUUCGGGAUUCUCAGUACAAGGAGGUGAUCGAAGAAGAACAGGAACAACUUUCUAGAGUCAUCUUGUUCGAGGAUGUUAGCGAUUAUCUUUUCUCGUUAAGCUCUGCCGAUGCUCGCUUGUCUCUUGUUUUGCAGUUCAUCAAUUUCUUUGGUGGGGAGAUAUCUCAUUGGUUUUGUACAAAUUCUUCAUGUUGGAAUGAGAACAUACGGAGUCUAGAAACACUGCCAAACUCUAUCCUGCAAUAUCUGGGAAGGGUAAAUGGUUCUAGAAUAUUUGAAAGUGGUUCAAGCACUCUCUGUAUGGAGUCUCUGUUGCAUCAUUCAGAGACUGUUGCGAGCACAAAUAUCAUGAAGUUUCUGCGCAAUGCUGCUCUCUUAUGUCUAAAAGUUUUCCCUCGAAAUUACAAGAUAGAAGAGGCUAUUCUUAUUGCUGAAGAGAAAACUGUUGUAGGGAUCAAUUCCUCGCAGUGCGCAACUAUGCCUUCUCGGGCUUUGGCAAAGCACCUCUUAAAAAGUGAUCGACAGGAUGUAUUAUUAUGUGGAGUAUAUGCUCGAAGGGAGGCUGCUUACGGAAAUAUUGAUCAUGCAAGGAAGGUAUUUGACAUGGCAUUAUCAUCUAUCAGUGGGCUUCCUUUGGAAACUCAGUCGAUUGCUGCUCCGUUGCUUUACCUAUGGUACUCAGAUAUGGAACUUGCUGAUGGUUUAUGCGGUGAAUCAGAGUCUACACAACGUGCUUUGCACAUAUUAUCAUGCUUAGGAAGUGGGAUGGUUUAUACUCCAUAUAGAAGUCGACCGUCAAGCACACAAUUGCUGAGGGCACACCAGGGUUUCAAAGAACGCAUAAGUACUAUAAGAUCAUCUUGGACAUCUCAUAAUAUAGAUGAGAGUUCCGUCAGUCUCAUUUGUUCAGCUGCAUUAUUUGAAGAGUUGACUGCUGGUUGGGUUGUAGGGGUUGCAGUUAUCUCCGAUGCUCUUUCAAUGGUGCUUCCUGAAAGAAAGAGCCGAAGCAAUCAACUUGAAUUUUUGCUCAACCGUCAAAUGAGGAUGCUUCAAAAACAUCAUCAACAAGCAACUUCGUCAAAAAUAUUGCAGUCUGUGUCAGUAGGAUUGCAAAUCUAUCCCUUUAACCCAGAACUUUUUUGUUGCCUGAUGCAUCUUGGUCAUCUGUACACCACACCCAAUAAGCUCCGACGGAUCUUUGACGACCUCUUUCAAAAAAAACCAUCAGUUAUCCUUUGGCUGUUUUCUCUGUCAUAUGAACUGAGUAGAGGGGCUUCUCAGCACAGGAUCCAUGGAUUAUUUGAGAGGGCGGUGGCAAAUGAUAGACUACGCACAUCUGUGUUGCUGUGGCGCUGUUACAUCUCAUAUGAGAUUUGUAUAAGUAACUUUCCUGCUGCAAGAAGAGUCUUUUUCCGAGCUAUCCAUGCAUGUCCAUGGCAGUGCACUUUGCUGAAGUAACCCAUUUCAAUACAAUCUGUUUUUAUUCAAGCCACAAUAAAGUAUUGAUGGUAAAAGAUCGGAGUUCAAGUGCCUAGCAGUGAAACGUAAUUGCUCAAUAGUGACAUGUUUGAAACCCACCUGGGAUAAUAGAAUCAGAGUACAGAGUUUUCCUUGCUGUUAGGAAGGAUUGCAAUGACUUUGUAUGUCACAUGCUUGAUUCAAGCUUAGGUCAAAGAUGCUGUGGCUUGAUGGCUUCCAUAAACUGCAUAACAUUGUUCCCGCGAAAGAGCUGUUGGAUCUCCAUGAGGUGAUGCGGGAUAAGGAGCUCAAUAUAAGAACGGACAUUUAUGAGAUUCUUCUACAAGA